ACGGAGGGGGCUAGCGUUGUUCGGAAUUACUGGGCGUAAAGCGCGCGUAGGUGGUUUGUUAAGUUGGAUGUGAAAGCCCCGGGCUCAACCUGGGAACUGCAUCCAAAACUGGCAAGCUAGAGUACGGUAGAGGGUGGUGGAAUUUCCUGUGUAGCGGUGAAAUGCGUAGAUAUAGGAAGGAACACCAGUGGCGAAGGCGACUCGCUGGACAGGUAUUGACGCUGAGGUGCGAAAGCGUGGGGAGCAAACAGGA
rnacentral:rRNA from 1 species